UUUUAUUGUUUACUCGGUUUUUGUGUUAAACCCCACGUGUCCCCAGUUUUGUAUUGUCCCUAUUUGUUUUUAUUUUAGUUGUUAUAAU